GCUAUGUUGGCCGGGCGACGGUUGUCCCGGUUUAAGCGUGUAGGUGUGUGUUCCAGGUAAAUCCGGUUCACUUUAACACUGAGGCGUGACGACGAGGCACUACGGUGCUGAAGCAACAAAUGCCCUGCUUCCAGGAAAAGCCUCUAAGCAUCAGGUAACAUCAAAUCGUACCCCAAACCGACACAGGUGGUCAGGUAGAGAAUACCAAGGCGCUUGAGAGAACUCGGGUGAAGGAACUAGGCAAAAUGGUGCCGUAACUUCGGGAGAAGGCACGCUGACACGUAGGUGAAGUGAUUUACUCAUGGAGCUGAAGUCAGUCGAAGAUACCAGCUGGCUGCAACUGUUUAUUAAAAACACAGCACUGUGCAAACACGAAAGUGGACGUAUACGGUGUGACGCCUGCCCGGUGCCGGAAGGUUAAUUGAUGGGGUCAGCGCAAGCGAAGCUCCUGAUCGAAGCCCCGGUAAACGGCGGCCGUAACUAUAACGGUCCUAAGGUAGCGAAAUUCCUUGUCGGGUAAGUUCCGACCUGCACGAAUGGCGUAAUGAUGGCCAGGCUGUCUCCACCCGAGACUCAGUGAAAUUGAACUCGCUGUGAAGAUGCAGUGUACCCGCGGCAAGACGGAAAGACCCCGUGAACCUUUACUAUAGCUUGACACUGAACAUUGAGCCUUGAUGUGUAGGAUAGGUGGGAGGCUUUGAAGUGUGGACGCCAGUCUGCAUGGAGCCGACCUUGAAAUACCACCCUUUAAUGUUUGAUGUUCUAACGUGGACCCGUUACCCGGGUUGCGGACAGUGUCUGGUGGGUAGUUUGACUGGGGCGGUCUCCUCCUAAAGAGUAACGGAGGAGCACGAAGGUUGGCUAAUCCUGGUCGGACAUCAGGAGGUUAGUGCAAUGGCAUAAGCCAGCUUGACUGCGAGCGUGACGGCGCGAGCAGGUGCGAAAGCAGGUCAUAGUGAUCCGGUGGUUCUGAAUGGAAGGGCCAUCGCUCAACGGAUAAAAGGUACUCCGGGGAUAACAGGCUGAUACCGCCCAAGAGUUCAUAUCGACGGCGGUGUUUGGCACCUCGAUGUCGGCUCAUCACAUCCUGGGGCUGAAGUAGGUCCCAAGGGUAUGGCUGUUCGCCAUUUAAAGUGGUACGCGAGCUGGGUUUAGAACGUCGUGAGACAGUUCGGUCCCUAUCUGCCGUGG
rnacentral:rRNA from 1 species